rnacentral:lncRNA from 8 species
CUUUCACAACCCUGACGAGCCCGAGGUGGAGGAUACACGGCUCCCUCGGGAACAGGCCCCGACCCCAGUGAUCUGCAUGAAGAGGAGGCGGAGAAAGAGACGCCAGAGGGCGGGCUGCCUUCUGAGGAGUAGGAGGCGAUCAAAUAAACCACCAUUCCCCUCAAUUCUGCUCGCAAACAUGCAUUCUUUGGACAAUAAAAUUGACGAGUUAUUGGGAAGACUACACUACCAACGGGACAUUCAAAACUGCAACAUCUUAUACUUCACGGAGUCGUGGCUGAACGACGACAAUAUCAACAUACAGCUGGCAGGUUAUACGAUGUACCGGCAGAAUAGAACAGCGGCGUCUGGUAAGACAAUGGGCAGCGAUCUAUGUAUUUUUGUAAACAGCUGGUGCACGAUAUCUAAGGAAGACUCGAGCCAUUUCUCGCUUGAGGUAGAGUUUCUCAUGAUAAGCUGCAAACUACAUUACCUACCGAGAGAGUUUUCAUCUAUAUUCUUUGUAGCUGUUUACAUACCACCACAGUCAGAGGCUGGCACUAAUAUAGCAUUGAAUGAGCUGUAUUCCGCCAUAAGCAAACAAGAAAACGCUCACCCAGAGGCGGCACUCCUAGUAGCCGGGGACUUUAAUGCAGGGAAUCUUAAAUCAGUUUUACCUAAUUUCUAUCAACAUGUUAAAUGUGCAACUAGAGGGGAAAGAACUCUGGACCACCUAUACUCCACACACAGAGAUGCAUACAAAGCUCUCCCUCACCCUCCAGUUGGCAAAUCUGACCAUAAUUUUAUCCUGCUGAUUCCUGCUUACAAGCUAAAAUUAAAGCAGGAAUCACCAGUGACUAGUGGUCAGAUGAAGCAGAUGCUAAGCUACAGGACUGUUUUGCUAGCACAGACUGGAAUAUGUUCCGGGAUUCCUCCAAUGGCAUUGAGGAGUUCACCACAUCUGUCAUUGGCUUCAUCAAUAAGUGCAUCGAUGACGUCGUCCCCACAGUGACCGUAUGUACAUACCCCAACCAGAAACCAUGGAUUACAGGCAGCAUCCACACUGACCUGAAGGCUAGAGCUGCCACUUUCAAGGAGUGGGACUCUAACCCGGAAGCUUAUAAGAAAUCCCGCUAUGCCCUCCGACGAAUCAUC